rnacentral:rRNA from 1 species
GUGAGGAAUAUUGGACAAUGGGCGCAAGCCUGAUCCAGCCAUGCCGCGUGCAGGAAGACGCAUCUAUGGUGUGUAAACUGCUUUUGUACGGGAAGAAACACUCCCUCGUGAGGGAGCUUGACGGUACCGUAAGAAUAAGGAUCGGCUAACUCCGUGCCAGCAGCCGCGGUAAUACGGAGGAUCCAAGCGUUAUCCGGAAUCAUUGGGUUUAAAGGGUCCGUAGGCGGUUUAAUAAGUCAGUGGUGAAAGCCCAUCGCUCAACGAUGGAACGGCCAUUGAUACUGUUAGACUUGAAUUACAAGGAAGUAACUAGAAUAUGUAGUGUAGCGGUGAAAUGCUUAGAUAUUACAUGGAAUACCAAUUGCGAAGGCAGGUUACUACUUGUGGAUUGACGCUGAUGGACGAAAGCGUGGGGAGCGAACAGGAUUAGAUACCCCUGUAGUCC